GCUGCCCUCUUUCUUCGUGCCUAAUACAUGCAAGUCGAGCGAACGGACGAGAAGCUUGCUUCUCUGAUGUUAGCGGCGGACGGGUGAGUAACACGUGGAUAACCUACCUAUAAGACUGGGAUAACUUCGGGAAACCGGAGCUAAUACCGGAUGAUAUUUUGAACCGCAUGGUUCAAAAGUGAAAGACGGUCUUGCUGUCACUUAUAGAUGGAUCCGCGCUGCAUUAGCUAGUUGGUAAGGUAACGGCUUACCAAGGCAACGAUGCAUAGCCGACCUGAGAGGGUGAUCGGCCACACUGGAACUGAGACACGGUCCAGACUCCUACGGGAGGCAGCAGUAGGGAAUCUUCCGCAAUGGGCGAAAGCCUGACGGAGCAACGCCGCGUGAGUGAUGAAGGUCUUCGGAUCGUAAAACUCUGUUAUUAGGGAAGAACAUAUGUGUAAGUAACUGUGCACAUCUUGACGGUACCUAAUCAGAAAGCCACGGCUAACUACGUG
rnacentral:rRNA from 1 species